rnacentral:snoRNA from 1 species
AACACAGAGCAAACUCAAUAAAAACUUAAUAAUGAUCCUUGUGCUGUUUGUUCAGUCCAACCCUGAGCUUCAUGCU